GUGCCUUCGGGAACCGUGAGACAGGUGCUGCAUGGCUGUCGUCAGCUCGUGUUGUGAAAUGUUGGGUUAAGUCCCGCAACGAGCGCAACCCUUAUCCUUUGUUGCCAGCGGUUAGGCCGGGAACUCAAAGGAGACUGCCAGUGAUAAACUGGAGGAAGGUGGGGAUGACGUCAAGUCAUCAUGGCCCUUACGACCAGGGCUACACACGUGCUACAAUGGCGCAUACAAAGAGAAGCGACCUCGCGAGAGCAAGCGGACCUCAUAAAGUGCGUCGUAGUCCGGAUUGGAGUCUGCAACUCGACUCCAUGAAGUCGGAAUCGCUAGUAAUCGUGGAUCAGAAUGCCACGGUGAAUACGUUCCCGGGCCUUGUACACACCGCCCGUCACACCAUGGGAGUGGGUUGCAAAAGAAGUAGGUAGCUUAACCUUCGGGAGGGCGCUUACCACUUUGUGAUUCAUGACUGGGGUGAAGUCGUAACAAGGUAACCGUAGGGGAACCUGCGGUUGGAUCACCUCCUUACCUGAAAGAA
rnacentral:rRNA from 1 species